UACGUAGGGUGCAAGCGUUGUCCGGAAUUAUUGGGCGUAAAGAGCUCGUAGGCGGUCUGUCGCGUCUGCUGUGAAAACUCGGGGCUUAACCCCGGGCCUGCAGUGGGUACGGGCAGACUAGAGUGCGGUAGGGGAGACUGGAAUUCCUGGUGUAGCGGUGAAAUGCGCAGAGUAUCAGGAGGAACACCGGUGGCGAAGGCGGGUCUCUGGGCCGAUACUGACGCUGAGGAGCGAAAGCGUGGGGAGCGAACAG
rnacentral:rRNA from 1 species